CGGCGCUGCUACAGCAUAAGAGUGGGCAGGCCCUCAACAACUUCGCAGCACCCUGCGCCCGGCUUGUGCGGGGCGCCAAUCACUUUCUACAGAGUGCUCAUCACGGAUCAGCCAUUGUGUGAGGGGCUCUCUUCUCUUCUCCCUUCUCUCUGUCUUGCUCCCUCGCCUUAUUUUCUCUCUUCGUCAACUCCCGAAUGGCACUGAUCGAGUGCGCCGAGUCGCUGUCCUCCUCCACCAAGGCGAAACUGCAGGACGCUGGCAUCCUCUACGUUUCGGAGGUUGUCGCCCUUCUCUCCUCGACGGGUUACCGCGCUGGUGAUGACGGCGACGGCAAGCCGGCUUCAGCGCUGCGGUACCUCAGCACUGUAUUGAAGCAUCACGUCUCCCCGAGUGACCCCCGAGCACCACGCCGACUGAGAAGAGAUGCCGGCGGAGAUGACCGUGGCGCUGUUAAUGACCAGGGUGAGCCGGCCAGCGUCUCGCGCAGCAUCGAGACGACGGUACCAUCGAAUCUCUGCAAAGAGACCGAGGCGUCAAGGUUCCUGAAUCUCACCGAGGACGAGAUGCGCGAAAUUGUCGAGAUGGCGACGCGUGCCACCGUAGGGGCGGAUGGGGAACACAAGGGAGGCAACGAUACUGCCUUCAGCGCGCAAGGGAGAGAUUCCGUUCAUGGUGUGAUGUCAUCUUUGCCUCCUCGCCCACCGGCUUGCUUAUCCCGGUCUGCGGACUCUGCACCCGAGACACACGUACACGCUCACAAGGGUGGCAGUCGCUCUGGUGCGAUCCCGGGCUGCCGCACAGUGCGUGAGAUGCACGCAGAAUUCCAGGCCCGUCAAGCGCAGGGCUUUCCGACCCACGUGACAACCUUCUCUCGCGAGCUCGACGGCGUACUUGGCGGUGGUGUUCCCGUUGGCGGCGUCACCGAGAUCAGUGGGCCCCCUGGCGUUGGAAAGACACAGCUGUUGAUGCAGCUAGCUGUUAGCUGUGCCAUGCCAGUAGAGUUCGGAGGGAUGGGUGGCGCGUGCCUUUUCGUUGAUACGGAGGGCAGCUUUGUGGCUGAGCGCUUAGAACAAAUGGCGACGGCGGCGGUGUCCCUCGUGCGCGCCAUCCUUCUCACGCAGCCGCAGCCGCCACGAAACGAGACGACCAUGGCGCCGUCAUCAGACGCGCGACUGUCACGAGAGUCGCCUAAAAAGCGAGGCCGCUCGCCCCCGCUGGACCCCCGAAAGGCAUUGCGUUCGCACGGUCAUUACACGGGCUUGGGUGCCGCAUCAGGCAUUCAAGAGGAGUUCACAGUGGAGUCCGUGUUGCAGCGUGUGCACUACAUCCGAGUAACAGACCUGGUAGGACUGCUGGCGCUCCUGCACAGUCUGCCGUCGUGGUUUGAGGAGGAGCGGACUGCCGAGGCGAAGAGUGUUGCCACGAGUGGCACAGCAGAGACACCGACGCAUUCUUCAGGGCCGGGUGACAGCUCUGCCAACAGCGCCCGCGCGGCAGUGCGGAUGGUGCUGAUAGACUCGAUCGCGUUGCCGUUCCGCUCCUCCGACGACUUCCACAGAGAAGGACUCAUGAGCAGCACCGGUAGCGGUGAGGAUAGCGCCAUGCAUCUGCUCGGCGACACUGGUAGGAUUGCUGCGCACAACGGCCUCCUCUCGCAGUUCCCCAACAGACUCUUGUCGAAGCACGGACUCUGGCGACGGUCGCGGCUGCUGUUUCAGUGCAGUACGCUGCUGGAGCGACUGGCAGCCACAUUUCAGCUGGCCAUCGUCGUGACCAACCAUAUGACCACCAAGGUGCUGCACGGCACUGCUUUCAAUGGCACUGAAAACGGCAGCUCAGCUGAGGGGUCUGGUUGCUCUGCGCCAAACAGCGCGGCGAACGGAGGCCAGCGUCGGCAGAGCGUUCUCGUCCCGGCGCUCGGUGACGCGUGGGGCCAGGGCCUCUCCACGCGGCUUCUGCUUUCUUUCCAUCACUACGACGUUCCUGCCUGUAGUUUUGUUGAUCGACCCAGCUCGCCGACGGCAGCUGCAGCGUGCACGGAAGACGUUGUCUACUCCCUGUCAUCACAGCAGCAACAGCUGCCAACCUCUCUGCGCAGCGUGGUGCAGCACCGGGUGGUGCGGGUGCUCAAGUGCAGCGGCCAGCCGAGGCGGGAGACGUGCUUCGCCGUGACGUCGAAGGGGAUUCGUGACGCUCGCAGGGACAUGGUGUCGCAACGCGUUGCGAAAGCUACUGGCGCCGGAGAAUCGCGCGAAUAGAAAAGCCGACGCGUUCCGCGUAUUCGAGCAAGCGAAUGGUGCGGGGGGUGGGGAGAGGGGAGGAGCGCAAGGAGAGGGCAACUGUUUCUCUCUCUCUCACAUCUGCGCUCGCUGCCCCCUCCCGCGCCAGGUUGCUACUUCAAGUUAAUGUGUGCUACUACAGAUGUGCGCUCGCCUCGAGGCACAGGCAGAAAACC
rnacentral:misc_RNA from 1 species